AAGCAAGUCAUAAGCCAGCAGUAUCUUCAUUGCCUGUAACCAGCCAUAGAAGAAAUCAAAGCGAAAUCCAGCAUAACAAAAACACUUUAUUGGGUUAUGUGAACUAAAGUCAAAUCCAGGAUAAUCUAAACAGUGGGCUCCAUGCCAAACUAUUUAAGCAUGUAGUGUCAUAAUAAUGUAUCUAAAUAACUUG